rnacentral:lncRNA from 1 species
CCUGUCGGGCUGGCUCCAGAACCACUCGGCAGACACUCCGGAACCACCUGCCGGGCAUUCCGGAACCACCUCUCAGACAUGCCGGAACCACAUGCCAAUGACACCGGAAGCACCUGCCGAGCACGCCAGAACCACCUGCUCGACUCGCCAAAACCACCUGCUGGACACGCCGAAAUCACCUGCCGGCUACGCAACAACCAUUUGGUGAACUCUUCGGAAUCACCUGCCGGGCUUGCUGGAACCACCUGCCGGUCACGCCAACAUCACCUGCCAGCUAUGCCAGAACCACUUGGCGGACACCAUGGAAACACGUGUCGGGCCGGCCGGAACCACCUCUCAGACGUGCCAGAACCAUGAGCCUGAGAUGCCGGAACCACUCCCCGAACAGACCGAAACCACCUGCCAGACCCGCCUGAACCCCCUGGCGAGCACGCCUGAUCCACCUGCUCAACUAGCCGGAACAAACUUCCUGACACGCCAAAAUCACCUGCCAGGUAUACCAGAACCACUUGGUGGACACUCUGGAAUCAUCUGCCGGACAUGCCAGAACCUGCUCUCAGACACGCCAGAACCAUGUGCCAGAGACGCCGGAAGCACCAGCUGAGCAUGCCUGAGCCACCUGCACGACUCGCAAGAAACACCUGUCGCACAUGCCAAAAUCACCUGCCGGGUACGCCAGAAACACUUGGCGGACACUCCGGAAUCACCUGUCGGGCAUGCCGGAACCACCUCUCAGACUUGCCAGAACCAUGCUCUGGACACGCCGGUACCACCUGCCGAGUAUGCCGGAACCAGCUGAUCCACUCCCCAGAACCACCUACUGGACACACCAAAAUCAACUGCCGGCUUAGCCAGAACCACACGGCAGACACUCCGGAAUCACAUGCCAGGCAUUCCGGAACCACGUCUCAGAGGUGCCAGAACCACAUGCCAGAGACUCCGGAAUCACCUGCCGGGCAUGCCGGAACCACCUAUCAAAGGUGCCAGAACCACAUGCCGGUGACUCUGGAAUCAUCUGCCGGGCAUGCCGGAACCUUCUCUCAGACGUGCCACAACCACGUGCCGGAGAGACCGGAAGCACCUUCCGAGUUCACCGGAACCACCUGCUGGACAUGCCGGAACCACCUGCCUCACAGGCCAAAAUCUUAUCCCGGCUACGCCAAAACCAGUGGGUGGACACUGCAGAAUCACCUUACGGGCAUGCCGGAACCACGUCAUGGACACACGGAAAACAACUGCCGGAACUGCCGGAACCACCUUCCGAGCACGCCGGAACCACCUGCUCGACUCGCCAGAACCACCGCCGGACAUGCAAAAUCACCUGCCGGCUAUGCCAGAACCACUUGGCGAACACUCCCGAAUCAGCUGCCGGGCAUGCCGGAACCACCUCUCAGACUUGCCAGAACCAUGUUCUGGACACGCCGGUACCACCUACCGAGUAUGCCGGAACCAGCUGAUCCACUCCCCAGAACCACCUACUGGACAGGCCACAAUCAACUGCCGGCAAUGCCAGAACCACACGGCAGACACUCCGGAAUCUCAUGCCAGGCAUUCAGGAACAACCUCUCAGAGGUGCCAGAGCCACAUGCCGGAGACUCCGGAAUCACCUGCCGGGCAUGCCAGCACAACCUCUCAGAAGUGCCAGAAGCACGUGCCGGACAGGCCGGAACCAUCUCCCGGACAGACCGGAAACACAGGAAACACUCGCCGGAACCACCUGCUUGACUCACCGGUCCCACCUGCCGGACACGCCAAAAUCACCUGCCCGCUACACCAGAACCACUUGGUGGAAGAGCCGCAAUCACGUGAUGUCAUGCCGACACAACCUCUCAGACGUGCCAGAACCUCGUCCCGGACACCCCAGUACCACCUGCUGGACAGACCGGAACCACCUGCCGGACACGCCAGAACCACCUGCUCGACUCGCCCGAACCAUUGCCGGACAUGCAAAAUCACCUGCCGGCUACGCCUGAACCACUCGGCAGACACUCCGGAAUCACAUGCCAGGCAUUCCGGAACCUCCUCUCAGAGGCGCCAGAACCAAAUGCCGGACACUCCGGUAUCACCUGCCGGGCAUGCCGGACCCACCUCUCAGACGUGGCAGAACCAUGUGCCAGACACGCCGGAACCACCUGCCGAGUAUGCCGGAACCACCUGCUCCACUCCCCAGAACCACC